ACGUAGGGUGCGAGCGUUAAUCGGAAUUACUGGGCGUAAAGCGUGCGCAGGCGGUUCGCUAAGACAGGUGUGAAAGCCCCGGGCUCAACCUGGGAACUGCGCUUGUAACUGGCGGACUGGAGUACGGUAGAGGGGGGUAGAAUUUCAGGUGUAGCAGUGAAAUGCGUAGAGAUGUGGAGGAACACCGGUGGCGAAGGCAGCCCCCUGGGCCGAUACUGACGCUCA
rnacentral:rRNA from 1 species